AAUUCUCUUCAUUAUGUUCCCAUGAGAAUUAUUGUAUCAUAUUUCUACAAUAACAGGAAUGACAUUUUUCCCCAUUUAUUUGAUUAAGGGCCUGACUUUCCUGUUGGAAUGUGAAAAGAAAUGGGUUUUGAUUCCAUUGACAUUGGAUAAAUUCCAACAAAUCAUGCUAGGAUUGGAGCUACCAUGUUCAAAAGCUCUGGCACCAUGCAACUUCUGGUUUCUCGCCAAAGUCAAAAUGACCACGAAAGGUAAAUAUUUUGAAUCAAUUCAGGACAUCAAGGCAGCCAUGAUACAGUAGCUAAAGACGCUCACAACAAAGGACCUCCAGAACUGCUUCAGAAAAAGGUUCAUGGACUGCAGUGAUCAUGAAAAAUGCCUCCCAGACUUCUAGCUACAGGGAGUAUAACUGACUCCAAGCUGCUGCUAGCUUCUAAAAUUUAUCACCAUGUCUGUCCGAGGCCACAUUUCCCACAGGAGGCUCCUAGUGGAACAGAGAUCAUGGCAGAGGUUCAAAGAUUUCCCUAAUGUCUGAGUUUGGCUCAAGGACUCUCUGACAGCCUUGCAGAAAUUUUCUUUGUCUUUCAAAGCAGCCCUGGAAACUUCCACUCAACUUUUCUCCCUUCUCUCCUUCAUUCCAGGUUAUCGCAGCCUUCCCAAGUCCACCCUCCCACAUACCAUUUCUAUAACGAACGUUUCUAUAACAAACUAAAAGCCUUAAGGUGUAGCCCAUUCUUAGCAUUUGCCUUGAGGAUACCGCUGCUUAACACAGGUAAAGUAAGCAGUGGUUUGAGAAAGCAG
rnacentral:lncRNA from 1 species